CAGUAACUAAUUAUAUAAACAAUAAUACAACAUAAAAGGCGAUAAUUGCAGAAAGAACGAUCUUCACCAGUGGGCGGCGCUCUCGUCACAGCAAAGGGCGGGGCCUGUGUUAAUGGAGGCGGGGUCUAUCGUGAGUGGGCGUGUCUUCAUUGUGUGUCAUGUCUGCUUGUGUUUCUUCUUCUUCUUCUGCUGUGUUCUGUGGCGCCACGUUGAUCGAGCGAUCAUCAUCAGACCGCAGCGCUCCGCAUCGGAUCGGGUCAGGCAGACGCACGCGGCGCUGGUGGCACCGAGUCCUCAUGUAAGUAGCCCAUCCUCCACCGCUGCUUUCUUUAUCCU
rnacentral:lncRNA from 1 species